GGAUGAUCGUGGGCCUGGUGGCCGGGCUGCUCCUGGGCAGGCUCGGUUACUACCUGGCCCUCAGCUGGUGCUGCUUCAGUAUUUUCAUUUUUAUGAUCCGGACCCUGAGGCUGAAGCUGCUGUCGGAGGCGGCGGCCGAGGGGGUUUUGGUGCGCGGGCCAAGAACCAGCUGCGCAUGUACCUGACCAUGGCCAUCGCCGCCGCCCAGCCGCUCUUCAUGUACUGGCUCACCUUCCACCUGCUCCGCUGAGCCCCAAAACGGCCAGAAUUCCCAAAAAAAUCCUGGGAUUGGCAGGGAAAAAUCCUGGAAUUGGCAGGAAAAUGUCCUGGAAUUUCA